rnacentral:rRNA from 1 species
UGCGCAGGCGGUUUUGUAAGACAGAGGUGAAAUCCCCGGGCUCAACCUGGGAACUGCCUUUGUGACUGCAAGGCUGGAGUGCGGCAGAGGGGGAUGGAAUUCCGCGUGUAGCAGUGAAAUGCGUAGAUAUGCGGAGGAACACCGAUGGCGAAGGCAAUCCCCUGGGCCUGCACUGACGCUCAUGCACGAAAGGCUGGGAGCAAACA